GACGAACGCUGGCGGCGUGCCUAAUACAUGCAAGUCGAGCGAACACAAGAGGAGCUUGCUCCUCUUGGUUAGCGGCGGACGGGUGAGUAACACGUGGGCAACCUGCCUGUAAGACUGGGAUAACUUCGGGAAACCGGAGCUAAUACCGGAUAAUCCUUUUCCUCUCAUGAGGAAAAGCUGAAAGUCGGUUUUCGCUGACACUUACAGAUGGGCCCGCGGCGCAUUAGCAGUUGGUGAGGUAACGGCUCACCAAGGCAACGAUGCGUAGCCGACCUGAGAGGGUGAUCGGCCA
rnacentral:rRNA from 1 species